rnacentral:tRNA from 1 species
GAGGUUAUAGCUCAGUUGUAGAGCACAUGCUUGGCAUGCAUGAGGUCCUAGGUUCCACCCCUAGUGCCUCU